GUGCCAGCCGCCGCGGUAAGACGAAGGAUCCAAGCGUUAUCCGGAUUUAUUGGGUUUAAAGGGUGCGUAGGCGGAUUGAUAAGUCAGUGGUGAAAGCCUGUUGCUUAACAACAGAACUGCCAUUGAUACUGUCAAUCUUGAAUAUGUUUGAUGUGGGCGGAAUAUGACAUGUAGCGGUGAAAUGCUUAGAUAUGUCAUAGAACACCGAUUGCGAAGGCAGCUCACAAAGCCAUUAUUGACGCUGAGGCACGAAAGCGUGGGGAUCAAACAGGAUUAGAAACCCUCGUAGUCC
rnacentral:rRNA from 1 species